ACAGGAGUCAGAGCUGAUGUACAAGUCCAAGGCCCAGCGUCUGGAGGAGCAGCAGCUGGACAUCGAGGGUGAGCUGCGCCGGCUCAUGGCCAAGCCCGGUGCGUCCCCCGUGCGCCAGCCAAGGGGCCCCAGCCAGGGAUGCCGUGGAGCCCAGGGUGUCUGGGGGCCGGCUCUGUGAGGCCACCUGACUGUCCUGGUGAGGCUCUGAAGUCACUGCAGGAGCGGCGGCGGGAGCAGGAGCUGCUGGAGCGGUACGUGAGCACCGUGAACGACCGCAGUGACAUCGUGGACUCGCUGGACGAGGACCGGCUCCGGGAACAAGAGGAGGAUCAGAUGCUGCGGGACAUGAUUGAGAAGCUGGGCCUCCAGAGGAAGAAGUCCAAGUUCGGCUUGUCCAAGAUCUGGUCACCAAAAAGCAAAAGCAAAAGCAGCCCCUCCCAGUAGUAGCCAGUAGGGCCGUGGGCUCGGCCCGGACCUGGCAUCCGGACUUGGACUCGGGGCCAUGGGCUUGGCCCGGACCCGGAACCCGGACUUGGACUCGGGGCCAUGGGCUCGGCCCGGACCCGGCAUUCGGACUUGGACUCGGGAAGGGCCUCCUGUCCCUACAAGGGGCAUGUGGACAGCAGGGACCUGCGCUACCGUCUGUGGUCUCAAUAAAGAAACCGACCACAUGG
rnacentral:sRNA from 1 species